rnacentral:rRNA from 1 species
UACGUAGGGUCCGAGCGUUGUCCGGAGUUACUGGGCGUAAAGCGCGCGCAGGCGGCUUGAUAAGUCUGGCGUGAAAGCCCCCGGCUCAACCGGGGAGGGUCGUCGGAGACUGUUGAGCUUGAGGGCGGUAGGGGCUGGUGGAAUUCCCGGUGUAGUGGUGAAAUGCGUAGAGAUCGGGAGGAACACCUGUGGCGAAGGCGGCUCUCUGGGACGGUACUGACGCUGAGACGCGAAAGCGUGGGGAGCGAACAGG